GAUGAACGCUAGCGGGAGGCUUAAUACAUGCAAGUCGAGGGGUAACAUGAGAGCUUGCUCUUGAUGACGACCGGCGCACGGGUGAGUAACGCGUACACUACCUACCUUGAACUGGGGGACACACACUGGAAACGGAGUAAAUACCCCAUAGUAUCAUGGUUUUAUUAUUAUGAUUAAAGUUUCGGCGGUUCAAGAUGGGUGUGCGUACUAUUAGAUAGUUGGUGAGGUAACGGCUCACCAAGUCGACGAUAGUUAGGGGGCGUGAGAGCGUGACCCCCCACACGGGUACUGAGACACGGACCCGACUCCUACGGGAGGCAGCAGUAAGGAAUAUUGGACAAUGGGCGAGAGCCUGAUCCAGCCAUCCCGCGUGAAGGAUGACGGCCCUCUGGGUUGUAAACUUCUUUUAUAUACCAAGAAUAGCAGAUACGUGUAUUUGUAUGACGGUAGUAUAUGAAUAAGCACCGGCUAACUCCG
rnacentral:rRNA from 1 species